rnacentral:rRNA from 1 species
UACGUAGGUGGCAAGCGUUGUCCGGAAUUAUUGGGCGUAAAGCGCGCGCAGGCGGUUCUUUAAGUCUGAUGUGAAAGCCCACGGCUCAACCGUGGAGGGUCAUUGGAAACUGGAGAACUUGAGUACAGAAGAGGAAAGCGGAAUUCCACGUGUAGCGGUGAAAUGCGUAGAUAUCAGGAGGAACACCGGUGGUGUAGACGGCUUACUGGACCACGACUGACACUGAGGCACGAAAGCGUUGGGUAGCAAACAGG